UACAGAGGGUGCGAGCGUUAAUCGGAAUUACUGGGCGUAAAGCGCGCGUAGACGGUUUUGUAAGUCAGAUGUGAAAUCCCUGGGCUCAACCUGGGAACUGCAUUUGAGACUGCAUGGCUAGAGUAUCGAAGAGGGAAGUGGAAUUUCCGGUGUAGCGGUGAAAUGCGCAGAUAUCGGGAAGAACACCCGUGGCGAAGGCGGCACUCUGGGACGGUACUGACGCUGAGACGCGAAAGCGUGGGGAGCGAACAGG
rnacentral:rRNA from 1 species